UACGUAGGUCCCGAGCGUUGUCCGGAUUUAUUGGGCGUAAAGCGAGCGCAGGUGGUUUAUUAAGUCUGGUGUAAAAGGCAGUGGCUCAACUUGAGUGCUGCAUUUCAAACUGGAAGUCUAGAGUGCAGGAGAGGAGAAUGGAAUUCCUAGUGUAGCGGUGAAAUGCGUAGAGAUUAGGAAGAACACCAGUGGCGAAGGCGAUUCUCUGGACUGUAACUGACGCUGAGGCUCGAAAGCGUGGGGAGCAAACAGG
rnacentral:rRNA from 1 species